rnacentral:rRNA from 1 species
CAAUAGCGUAUAUUAAAGUUGUUGCAGUUAAAAAGUUCGUAGUUGGAUUUCGGGACGGGCCAGUUGGUCCGCCGCAAGGUGUGUUACUGACUGGUCUGUUCUUCUUCGCAAAGACUGCGUGUGCUCUUCGUUGAGUGUGCGUAGGAUUUACGACGUUUACUUUGAAAAAAUUAGAGUGUUCAAAGCAGGCUAUCGCUUGAAUACAUGAGCAUGGAAUAAUGGAAUAGGACUUUGGUCCUAUUUUGUUGGUUUCUAGGACCGAAGUAAUGAUUAAGAGGGACAAUUGGGGGCAUCCGUAUUUCGUUGUCAGAGGUGAAAUUCUUGGAUUUACGAAAGACGAACAACUGCGAAAGCACUUGCCAAGAGUGUUUUCAUUAA